CCCAGCCUCCCGCCAGAGGCUCGGCUCGCGCGGCGCGGCGCGGCCGCUGCGACUUCCUGGAGUUCUGCCUGCCGGGGGCGCGGGCGGGUGUGUGAGAGAGACGGCGAGGGGAGCCGCGGGGUGGGAGAGGAGGGAGUCCCGGCGGGAGGGCGGGGGAGAGGCUGGCGGGAGGGGGGCUCCACGGAGCUCCAGCCAGGGCCGCGGUGCGCCUGCACGUCACGGCUACUCAAACCCAAGCACGUCCCGAAAGCGGUAUUUUCUGCGUCUGGGAGGUUUUUGCAUCCUCAGUUCCCACCGCUGGGGCUGGCGGCGACCAACUGUAAGAGAAACUCACUGGGAGGCGAGGCAGGGGGGUGCGGAGGAUGGGAAGGCGACUCUGAAGGGUGGGAAGUGAAUGCUGGACUUGAUCGUCUUUCUCUGUCUUUCAGCGCAGACCUGUCGCAGCCAGAGAGCUGUUAUUUCAGAACCGGGAUUCAGAAUUGAUCCAGUCCGCAGCGGAGGGGGCACAUCCCACCUCCCGAGCUGCUGAGUGUCUCUGGCUGGAACAAUAGUAUUUUUUUCUCUGCGAGGCUGCAAUUAACAUCUUAUUUGUUCUGGCUCCAUACAGGCUUUGUCAGGAUCGCGGUGCGGCGACCGAGGUUGGGCCCUUGCAUUGCUUUCUGCUUGGCAAUGGAAUCAUGGUUUCGGGGUCUAAACUUUUAUUUCGUUUUGUAGUCUUAAUGUAUCUGAUUCUUUUUCAAGUUUCCCUAGUUACAGGUUUGGGGACGGGGUGGGAAGAAACGAGAAAAGGGGUGAAGAGAAACAACCAGAUUAUAUAGAAAGGGAAAAGGGAUGUUUCCCCACCCUUUAAUCUAUCUAUCUAUCUGCCUGUCUAUCUAUCACUUAUCUAUCAGUCAUUUUGCCUCCUGGACAGUUGGCUGACGAAGUGUCCGAUAAAUCAGCUUCAGAUACAUGCUACAAAAGGUCAUUCGCCUCCUGAUUAUGCUUCUACUUGUAAACGCAGUUGGUGGUUUGCAAAACAAGUGCUAAAAUAGUGCAGUGAUGUGGUGGGAGGAAACCCUAAUGGGCAAUUCAUAUAAAGUGCUGGAAUCUUCGUAAGGAAGUCCCACUUUACCAUUAAUGAUGACAAUAACUAAAGCUGCCAGGAACAGCACGUCUGCUGACCUUUAUCAGCACCAGAUUCUGUCAUUUUGCCUUCUGGAUCUCCAUGUUCUUUCACACCAACAAACAAGAGGAAGUAUAUUCUCUACCCACUUCCUUGACUGAAGCCUGCUUCUUUAUGAAGACAUGGCGUCUCUUCUAACCAUGUCAAACAGAUGCAAUUUAUGUGUAUGCUGCUUCCAUACCCUGAUUAAAUGGGUCAGUGGCAGAAUCAGUAUCCUUACUCUCCCCUUUGGUUUCAAAUAUUUACUCCUCAUUUCACUUUCAUGCCCACCUUUCUGUAGAGAUCAAGGCAUCUGCCUUUGCAGCUUUACCUAUUCCUCCAGGUUAUAUUUUCCAUUCAUGGAAUCUUUUAGCUGCUGGCUUGCAGUUUUCCUGUCUACCUGACUUCCAUUCCUCUUCUCAUGACUUCAGCUCCCAUGUAGAUGUCUUGUCCUGACACACUAGCUUCUCCAUUCUAUUUCUAUGUGUGUGUGUGUUUUUUUCCUACUAGUUCAACCACAUUUCCCUAUGGUCUUUAACUAAAAAGUCUAACCAGUGACUAAACUGCUUCCAGUAUUUAAAAUUUAAUGUUUCAAUUCUCUAAUUACAACCUUCUGCUUUUAUAAACUCACAUGGAAUCAAGUCUUUCACAAAAUUCAGGUCUUUUUUAUAUUAUUAGUCAUCCCCACCAAUUUCUGCUCUUAUCUUUACUUUCCUCCUUAUACCCUGUGGUAAGCAGCCUCUAACAUGGACCCUAAUGAUCCCUACUUCCUGAUAUGUGUGUCCUUGUGUAAUUGUCUCUCUCUUGAAUGUGGGCUAGAUUUAGAAAUUUGCUUUUAUCAAACAGAAUAUGGUAGUAGCAAUGGGAUGUUAAGAUAUAAAAUGACUGUGUUUUCCAUCUCGGGAGCUCCUUUACUCUUCCUUAGAGCAUUUGUUUGCCAGUAAGCCAGGUGCCAUGUUGUGAUACAGUCCUAAAUAGAGAAGUCCAUGUGAGUUUGGCCUUCGAGGCCUGUCAAAAGACACAUGAGUGAGCUCAGAAGUGGAAGCUGCCUCAUUCAAGUCUUGAGAGGACUGCAGCCCAGCCAACAUCUUGGUUGCCGCUUCGUGACAGGCUUGAGCCAGAAUCAAGCAGCUAAGCUGCUUCUGUAUUCCUGACCUACAGACACUAUAGAUCAGGAAUGUUUGUGGCUUCCAACUGCUAAAUUUGGGGAUAAUUUGUUAUGCAAAUGUAGGUAACUAAUGUAUAUCCCAUGGAUUCCAUGCCCAUUGUUAUAAUAAUUUACUUACAACAAUCUUCAGCUAUUUACUACAUUUUCCUGGCUGGAUCACCAUGUUUACUGUGAUGGACAACUGCCUUUCCUGAUCUAGGACCUAUGCAGCAGAGCAUUACUGAAGAAAUUCACACCCUCAGGCAGUUAGAUGUCCCUGUAAAGUUAUAGUCACCAGGUUUUCACGAUCUCACCACACAGACUGUUACUUAUAAGCUCCCUCUCUUAUUACACCCUAUGAAUAUUUUGUAACUUUUCUUUGAUCAUUAAAAAUGCUUCUCCUCAACUCUUGAAUGAUAAGUGAUAACCUUUUUUCAUUCAUUAUUUAUAAAACAGAUGUGAUUAGAUGGAAAAUACCUUAUAUUCAUUAAACUGACUGUACCUUCACCCAUUUUCUCCUGUCUUCCUUAUCUAAGAAGCCAUCCCCUCCACAGGUAACUUGGAUCUUACUUCUAUUGGCUCUCACACCAAUAAUCUCUCCCUCUCUCCUGGACCACUUCCAUCAGCAUACAUAUUUUAUAGCAAUACUACCCGUCUAAAAACUUCUGAUCAACAACCUGUUUCUCAGAUACCCUUCAUAACGAAUCUUUUUUUAAAAAGCAAUCACAUUCAGUUCACUUCCUCACUUCCCUCUCAUUUCUCAGCUCAAUCCAUUCUGGCUUCCACCCCCACAAUUCCACUGAAAAAAUUCUUGUCAAAAAUCACUAAAGACCUUCAUGUUGCCAAGUUAAAGGAAUAAAUGUUUUUCUCAUCUUACUCUAAUUUUCAGCAGCAUUUUAAAUGCAAUGCCCUCGCUUUGGAAACCACUUCUAUUUUCAUUUCUGUUUUAUCAUACUCUCCCAGAUGUACUUUUACAUCACUGAUCACUGUGAAGACACUGAGACACUUCUCAGUGUCUUUUGCUUGUUCUUCUUCCACAUUAACUUGAAAUGCUGACUGCUUUAGAGAUUAAAUAUUGGAUGUACUUCCCUUAUUUCUCUACCACCUCCCCUUUGGUGAUCUAAUCCACUCCCUAAUAUUGAAUAAUAGGGAGUGAAUAAUCCAUUCCCUAAUAAGUAUGUAUAUGUACAUACAUGCAUACACACAUGAACAGACACCCCAUGUAUAUUCCUUUAACAAGGAUAUCUCCUCUGAGCUCUAGAUUUUUAAAUAAUCAACUGCCGUGAUUUAUAUCUCUACUAAAUAUGCCUCACAGUCAUCUCAGAUUUGGGGUAAUUAAAGGAAAAUUCCUGAUUACUCCAAAGAAAUGUGCUCUUCCCUCAGUCUUUAUGUUUCAGGAAAUGGCAUCCCUAUCCACCUAGUUAUUCCAUUGGCAAACAUGGAAAUCAUACCUGCUGCUAAUUUUCUAUCACUCUACAUCUAAUCCCUUGACAAAUAUUGCCUGUUCCACUUUGUAGAAGUUUCCUAGGGCUGCCAUAAUAAAAUUCCACAAUGUGGGUGGUUUAAGCAACAGAAAUUUAUUUUUUUCACAGUUUUGGAGGCUAGGUGUCUAAAAUCAAGGUCCAUAUUGGAUUGGGUCCUCUGGGGCCUCUUUCUCUGGCUUGCACAUGGCUGCCAUCUUGCUGCCUCUUCAGAUGGGGUUGGGGUGUGCAGAGAUGGGCACAAUUCAGCUCAUGAUAUAACUUCAAUACAUAGAUGUCACACCUAACCAGUUCUUUCUUUUUUCACUGUUAUCUUUUGUGUGUGUGUGUGUGAAGUACGUAGUUUUUGCUUAGUCUCUUCUACCUGGCAUUCAAUAUUCUUUGUUAAUCUAUCUCUAAUAAGUUAUACUUCAAAAAUGUAUCCCUUUAAAAUCAAAUGGAAAAACAUUUUAAUUCCAGGUACUUCUCACAUAGCACAAAUAAUAAAAUCCAAACUUUUAAUCAUGACUGGCAGUGCCCUACCUCAUCUGAUUCUCGCUCCCCUCUCUAACUUCAUCUUGUGCCACACUUCUGCUUACAUAUAAUGCCCAAGCUACAUUCACCUUUUUCUGAGUCAUGAGGAUGCUACAUUUUUAUCUCCUUACAAUCUUCCAGUGUCAGGAUCAUUCUACCUGGAAUACACUUCCCCUUUUCUACUGCUAGGAGAAACUUUAUAGGCCUGAACUGCCCGCUUCUCAUGCCUCAGAUUUCAUCUUGAAAAUUCCCUUUUCAGAGCUUUUAAAAUUUUUUUUUUAACAACCCAAUCUAUAGUGCUCUCUCC